CUAUUAUCUUAAGUGUUAAAAUUAGCCUGGGUAGUAAUAGUUAUGUUCUUGAAACCCAAAGAAUUUGGCGGUAUUUUAGUCCUUUCAGAGGAAUCUGUCCCGUAAUCGACAGCCCACGAGAAGAUUUACCUGUUCUUGUUUUCAGUUUGUAUACCUCCGUCAUCAGAGAAUCUUUUUAGAGAAGAAUUUUCUUAAUAUAAUGAAUAUAGGAUGUCAGGUCAAGGUGCAAUUUAUGGACAGGUGGCGAUGGAUUACAAUAAACUUAUUUAUAUGGAUUGACUUAUUUAAUUUGUCAUGAAGGUGGAUUUGAUAGUAAUAUUAAUUUUUUGUUGAUUUGAUUUUGGCUCUAAAAUAUGCACACA
rnacentral:rRNA from 1 species